rnacentral:lncRNA from 1 species
GGAAAAACUUCACAUGCUCUCUUUUUUAAUUACAAGAAGAAUACUUUCAUUACAAUAAAAACAUGAUAACAUAUGCUUUGAGGAAAGAAGCUCAUUAUCAUUAAAAAUUACAAAUAUCAUUAAUUACUUCCUAAAUUCAUAAGUAUUUGAUCACGUAAACGUGUCAUAUCAGAAAUGUUGCAACACUUAUAGAAAUAGGAGGAUUCAACAUUGCUGGGGAUUGGACCCGUCCAUUUUUAAUUUUGCCGAUAUUCCCCUGUAAGUUCGGGUUCUUGGUGCUGUUGCUGCCUUCGCCGGUUCUUGAGAGUUGUAGGCUGCUCGGUUGGCUAAUUAGCUUCUUGUGCUGCUCUUCGGUGGGUGGGUAUUGUUGAAGUUGGGAGCUGCAUCUAGUAUGUGAGGGUUGCC